UUAGUCUAUAAGGUGCCACAGGAUUCUUUGCUGCUUAUGCAAGUGACAGACAUGAGAAAUCCAUUUGUGUGGGCAAAAGACUCAUACCUGCGAAUGAUAGGAGCCAUCUUAUCUCUUGAGGUAUUUGCCUAUAAGAUAUGUCUCUCUUUUUUAAAAUCCAUACUUUGUUAAAAAAAGAUCUUGAUUUGAAAUUCUAAAAGUGAAGGAGCAAAAACCGUAAAUCGGUGUUUCUCAAACUGGGGUCGCUGCUUGUGUAGGGAAAGCCCCUGGCGGGUAAGGCCGGUAAACAAACCGGCCCCAGUUUGAGAAACACUGCCGUAAAUAGAGUGACAAUUUCAGAAUUCCCUGCUUACCAUUCAUUCCUUGAAAUGAAUCUAUAUUCUCAAUUAUUUUUAACCAAAUAAAAAUCUUAUAGAAACAUA